GUGGGGAAUAUUCCGCAAUGGACGAAAGUCUGACGGAGCAACGCCGCGUGAGUGAUGAAGGUUUUCGGACUGUAAAGCUCUGUUGUUUGGGACGAAAGUGCCUGUUGCGAACAGUUACGGGUAUUGACGGUACUAAACGAGGAAGCCACGACUAACUACGUGCCAGCAGCCGCGGUAAUACGUAGGUGGCAAGCGUUGUCCGGAAUUAUUGGGCGUAAAGAGCAUGUAGGCGGGAAUCUAAGUCUGUUGUUAAAAUGCGGGGCUCAACACCGGAUUGCGAUGGAAACUGGGUUUCUUGAGUGCAGGAGAGGAAAGGGGAAUUCCCAGUGUAGCGGUGAAAUGCGUAGAUAUUGGGAGGAACACCAGUGGCGAAGGCGCCUUUCUGGACUGUGUCUGACGCUGAGAUGCGAAAGCCAGGGUAGCGAACGGGAUUAGAUACCCUGGUAGUCC
rnacentral:rRNA from 1 species